rnacentral:rRNA from 1 species
GUGCCAGCAGCCGCGGUAAUACGAAGGGGGCUAGCGUUGUUCGGAUUUACUGGGCGUAAAGGGCGCGUAGGCGGUGCAAUAAGUCAGGCGUGAAAGCCCCGGGCUCAACCCGGGAAUUGCGCUUGAUACUGUUGCGCUUGAAUCCAGGAGAGGAUGGCGGAAUUCCCAGUGUAGAGGUGAAAUUCGUAGAUAUUGGGAAGAACACCAGUGGCGAAGGCGGCCAUCUGGCCUGGAAUUGACGCUGAGGCGCGAAAGCGUGGGGAGCAAACAGGAUUAGAAACCCCCGUAGUCC